UUCUGGGCCUAGUACUUGUAGUCUAACUUUCAAUUUUAUUUUAAAAAUUGAAACCAAAGAAGGCGGACAAUCCCAGCCCACUAACCAAACUUGGGGUUUCGUUUAGGCCCCAACUUAUUUCCAAAAGUCACUCUCACUCUAAAGCCAUGAUGACAACAAAUUUCUUUUCCUUGUGAUUUUUGAAGUAGAAAGAUUUAAAGUGAAAAUAAUUGGAUUGCUAUAAUACUUUUGGACCCUAUAAAGUAUAAAGAAGAAGAGAGUGUAGUCGAGAUGUAGGUGAAGUGGGACAUCCACAUUGCCAUUCCUGUUGUGACUCUGAGAUUGUGGGAUUUAAUCCAAACCCGUGACACUUGUGGGAUUUACGUCAUCAUUCAAUCCAUUUGUUGCUAUGAUUACAAUGUCCAAUUCCACUUCUCAAGUGAGACAAAUUUUGGUGCUAACUUUAUUUUGAGAGAGAGUUAAAAAGGAAAACCGUUGCCCCAUGACCCCUAACACCACUACAACCAACAUGGGGUCUCCUCCUUCUUUAUUUUAUUUUAUUUACUCAUACUCAGCAUCACAUCCUGUUGAUUGAGCCGUUGGGAUCUGAAAAUGAAUGGCACCUGCAAUUUCUGGCUACUAAUAAUCAGAGAAGUAGGAGCCACCCCUGAUGUUGAAGGGUAGACCUACACCUACUCCUACACCUACAAUCAUG
rnacentral:lncRNA from 1 species